AUUGAACGCUGGCGGCAGGCCUAACACAUGCACGUCGAACGAGUGGCGGACGGGUGAGUAAUGUCUGGGAAACUGCCUGAUGGCCGGGGAUCACUACUGGAAACGGUAGCUAAUACCUCAUAACAUCAGAUGUGCCCAGAUGGGAUUAGCUCGUUGUUGGGGUAACGGCUAACCAAGGCGACGAUCCCUAGCUGGUCUGAGAGGAUGACCAGCCACACUGGAACUGAGACACGGUCCAGACUCCUCCGGGAGGCAGCAGUGGGGAAUAUGGCACAAUGGGCGCAAGCCUGAUGCAGCCAUGCCGCGUGUAUGAAGAAGGCCUUCGGGUUGUAAAGUACUUUCAGCGGGGAGGCGUUACCCGCAGAGGAAGCACCGGCUAACUCCGUGCCAGCAGCCGCGGUAAUAC
rnacentral:rRNA from 1 species